rnacentral:rRNA from 1 species
CAAGUCGAACGAUGACUUUUGUGCUUGCACAGAAUGAUUAGUGGCGAACGGGUGAGUCACGUGAGUAACCUGCCCCUGACUCUGGGAUAAGCCUGGGAAACUGGGUCUAAUACUGGAUAUGCACCGUAGACCGCAUGGUUUUUGGUGGAAAGAAUUUUGGUCAGGGAUGGACUCGCGGCCUAUCAGCUUGUUGGUGAGGUAAUGGCUCACCAAGGCGACGACGGGUAGCCGGCCUGAGAGGGUGACCGGCCACACUGGGACUGAGACACGGCCCAGACUCCUACGGGAGGCAGCAGUGGGGAAUAUUGCACAAUGGGCGAAAGCCUGAUGCAGCGACGCCGCGUGAGGGAUGACGGCCUUCGGGUUGUAAACCUCUUUCAGUAGGGAAGAAGCGAAAGUGACGGUACCUGCAGAAGAAGCGCCGGCUAACUACGUGCCAGCAGCCGCGGUAAUACGUAGGGCGCAAGCGUUAUCCGGAAUUAUUGGGCGUAAAGAGCUCGUAGGCGGUUUGUCGCGUCUGCCGUGAAAGUCCGAGGCUCAACUUCGGAUCUGCGGUGGGUACGGGCAGACUAGAGUGAUGUAGGGGAGACUGGAAUUCCUGGUGUAGCGGUGAAAUGCGCAGAUAUCAGGAGGAACACCGAUGGCGAAGGCAGGUCUCUGGGCAUCUACUGACGCUGAGGAGCGAAAGCAUGGGGAGCGAACAGGAUUAGAUACCCUGGUAGUCCAUGCCGUAAACGUUGGGCACUAGGUGUGGGGGACAUUCCACGUUUUCCGCGCCGUAGCUAACGCAUUAAGUGCCCC